UUAUAAGAUAACAAAGUUUAUAUAAGGUAAUAAACCCUUUUUUAUCAUGAAGUUUUUUUUUGUAUAUUAAUUUUUACUCCCCUUUUUCUUUCCACGUGUGCUCAUUUUUUGUCUGAAGUACAAUUACCUAGACACCCUUCAUUAUUUUUAUUUUUGACUGUAUAAAAGAAUAUUUGAGUAAUAUUACUUAAUAAAAAUAAAAAAAAUACAAGUAAAGGAAAGGGCAUAUGUGACAAUCCUCAAUUUUUUUAGUUAGAACAAAAUGGGAAGGUACAAAGAGGCAGCGACACCGUCUCCAGAGCCAUCCACGUGGGCCGGGCCCAAUGUGCGAGAACUGAGAUCCCUAUGGGCUCGGUGGCCGACAACACUUACUGAAUGUUGGUCCGAAGCCCAACUCAUUUCAAAGUACACACACGUGACUGGGGCCUACUUAUGAGGAACUUUGAACACGUGUCAAUUCCCAGUUCAUAUCAGUUUUUACACUUUGCCCCUUAAAUUGUUGAUUUGACUCCUAAUUUUAGCCCUUAAGCAAAUAAUUUUGUGGCAUUGAACCCUUAUCUAUGAAAUUGGAUGCAAUUAACCCCAAUAUUUAACCGCUAUCCAUAACCGUGAGUCAAUGAAAUAACCUGUCUCAUAAGCGCCGUGUAGCUUUUUGGUCUGGUUAUGGGUUUUGAAUUUGGUGCUAAUGUGCUUGCUCUAACAUGGCACCGUGUGCAAUAUUCCAUCAACAAUUUCGAUGGGUUAGGGAUUGGUUCUAAUUUUAAAAAUUUACUAGUUUAAGGACUAAUGUGCCAAAGUGAGAUUUAAUCAAUACAUUAAGGGGGAGAAGUGUAAUUUCCCAAAAAGUUCAAUUGCUCUACGCAUCAAAUGAUGUCUCAAACCCAUUGAAAAAUGUAGUCUCCAUGGGUCAUACAAUCUAUAAUUUGCAAUUCUUAUUAUUUUUUAAAAAAUAAAAAUAUUUUUGUAAUAUUAAAAGAAAAAAAUAUGUGUACAAAAUAUAAAAUUACGUUGAUUACAAAAUGUGUCGAAACGUCGAGAAAAGAAAAGAAAAAAAAAAAAAAUUGGGCCUACCGGUCCAGCCCUGAACUGGACUGUUACUGUAGAGCCCACCCCAGUACUGUAGUGGAUCGGGCUAAUAGGCUGGACUCGACAAGGAAAUUGGUUAAUGGGCUAAGCCUAGACUAAUAUCUUUGAUCUUUGAAAGUAAAGGUGGAAAAUAGAAUUUAGAUAAAAGCAUCAGGGUAUAAAGUAUAAUUUAUUUGUCAAUAUAAGAUGUGGAUUAGAUGCCCUAGCCCUAGGGCAAACUGUGAACUGUGAAGGCGAAAACAAAAGGCGAUGGAAGAGAAGAACAGAGUAACGGCAACAGGAAUCGCGACAGAGCUCUGUCCUGACUUGGUGGCAGAAGUCCUCGCAAGGCUUCCGUGCAAGUCUCUGCUGCGAUUCAAGUGCGUGUCCAAAAUGUGGCGCUCAACGAUCUCCGAUCCUUCCUUCUGCGCAGCGCGCCGCCGUACCGUCUCCACCUCCGGCCUCUUCAUCAUACGUCUCGAUAGCUAUGACUAUGACUCCUCCAUCCCCUCCUCCUACUCCUUAGGAUGCUUCUACGAAACCCGCGGCGACGCGCACCACGUCAAACUUUUCACCAGAGACACCGAAGUUCACCUAUUUCCCCUGCUCUGUUGGGAUCCAGUCCAAUGAAGAAAUUGAAGCCCAAGACCAACCCCAUAGCCAAGAGAGGCCCAAAGCCAAGUCAAGCCCAAGCCCAAUAGAUAGUGAUUGGAAUGUAAUUUCAUAUUUGGGCAGAGACUAAAGAAGAAAAAGAAGAGGAGAAGAGAGAUAGGCUCUGACAUUUCUGUCAGAGAAGGCUGCCGAAGAAGUCCAAGAUGGAGGCCCCCUCUCUUCCCCGAAGUCUCAAAUUGUGGGCAUGUAGGAAGCUCAUGGCUGAGCUCAUCUUCUCUCUUUGAGGCCUAUAAAUUGAGAAGUUUUGCCAGAGAGAGGCGACGUGUGAGCACAAAUGUAAUCCUGGGGGAUUACUGAGAAGCCACAGCUUGUUGCUGUGUGCAGAGGUACGGGGUUUGUAUUUGUAGAGAUUUGCUAUGGUGCUUUGAGAGCACAGAGAGCAGGAGGUUGUGUGCUGUGAUAUCAGAGAAGAGCCGUGAGAUGGUGAGAGAUGAGGAGAGUGCUGAGAGGUGAGUGGAGUAGAGCUCCUCCUGUUGUACUCAUUGUAAUUCAUUCCAGAGAUAGUGAAUUAUAUUUGUUCCUCCCUCCGUGGAUGUAGGCAUUGUUGGCGAACCACGUAUCUCUUGGUCUUGGUGUGUGUUGUUGAAUAUUGUUGAUGUGACCUGGUAACCGUUUUUUGGGCAUCACAAUUGGUAUAGAGCCAAGUUCGUAGCACUGGAGAGUCACCGGAGCGAUUUCGCGUCGAAUCGGAAGCCGAUUUCGAAUUCUUGACCAAAUUCGAAGUGCUCAAAAAUGGGCGUUUGAGCAUACCACCAGAUUCGUCUCGUCGAGACGAACUCCAGCCCAAACAGCGUCAAAAUAUCGGACGCCGGAUGAGCCUCAGCGCCCCGCCUGAAGUUUCGGCGCGUCGAUCCACGCACCCCACGCGCGCCAAGAAUAAGCGAGUGCCUUCCACGCGCCCCCCCCACGCGGCCCAAAUAAUCUUGGCCUUUCAUCUAAGAAAUUCCAUGGAAACAUCAUCAUUACAAUAAUCGGUUUAGAGGGAGGGGUAGGGGGGGAGGGGGGGAGGGUGACGAUGCGGUAAGGGGAAAGGAGUGGAGGUGUAGGUUGGGGGGAGGUAAAAGUGGCUGGGCGCGGGGAGGGUGGAGAGUGGGGUGUAGGGUUAAGGGGAGGGGGGGGGGGUGUUCCCCUGUCUCCCUCCCCCCCUUCCCCUCUCCCCUCCCCCUCCUCUCCUUCCACGUUCUUCUUUUGCUUCUUUGGGUCCCCCCCCCCCCCCCCUGCUUUGACCAGUCAAUCACAGCCUUUGGACCGGUUAACUCGAGCCGUUGAACCGGCGUUGACCGGCCAUGAACCAGAGCCGUUGACCAUUGACCGGCGUUUGACUGACUCGUUGACCAAACAGUAAAUUGCACUUUCAGUCCCUGGACUUUCUGUUAAUACAGAUUGGUCCCGGAAGUUUGAAAAAUUGCAAUUUAUCCAUGAGUUCUGAUUAAUCAAUUUGGGCCUAGAAGUGUCUGAGUUUUGACAUAAAGCCCUAUUUGAGUUUCUUCGGGCAUUCCGAUUCAUCCGCGAGGUCGGUUUUUCAAAGAUUGUGCUUCCAUUUUGGAAAAGUAAGAGGCGGAGUAUUGAGAGCCCUGAUCAUCUUUCAGAUGCGGAUUACGCCCCAAAAAACCAAGGGAUGAGGAAUGCAUAACAGGAAUAGAGUGGGCAGAUUAUGACAAAUGCCAACAUUGGACACGAGGUGUUCCCUCAUGUAGCACUAUGAGAUGAGUGUUGUAGCUUCAUAUAAUGCAUGAACAUCAGGGGUGUUCCAACAUGUAGCCAUUAGAACAGUGCUCAUGGGUUGUUGACCAAUUGAAGGAUAUGUACCUGGAGAAGACAUCUCAGAACAAAGCCUAAUGAGGAGGCGUGUGUUGAGCUUCAGAGAGGGACUAAUAAGUUGCGAACAAAUGAGCGAGUUCCAGAGAGCCAACAGGAAAGGUCAAAGAAGAGGCCAGAGAAGAGGUCUCAAAGAAAGAGGUCAUAGAGGUCAGGAUAAUAGUCAAGAAGAGUUACCGGCAGAUGAUGGCGGAGGGCAACUCAAGAGGUCGCACUUUAGUGCUUUUAUUGCGACCAGGAGGGACAAGAAGAAUUGUCCAGGAACAAAGUCACAAGAUCAUCUUUUAGAGGCAGCAACAACAGCAAUGAUGGAUGUGGAUGAGAUUGAUGUUCUCGCCUAUCAGCAUCGCAGAUGAAAGAGCAGAUUAGAUGUCUGAUUCAGGAAUUGCUUACCACUUGUGCAGAGACAGAAAGUGUUCUCUACACAUGUAGCAUGCGAGGGACUUGCUACGGAUGGCUAACGACGCGAUUGUUGGCAAAGGACAGUCCGGUUCCACAUGGCAGACGAGGGAUCCAUGAAGUUGACCGGGGUAAGGCAUGUUUUCAUUGAAUGUGGAGUCGAAGCGAUGAAGCUUUGAAGCUGUGGAGGAAAUACUCGAGUUUUCCAAGGGAAACAGGAGAAGCUGCAGGAGACGGAAGACUGGAAGCUAUCCGACUGAAGGGAGAAUGUCCAACAGGAGAGCUGCUGUCCGAGCAUAGGUCCAGUGGUAUUAGCAAGAUGAAUGGACUGAGGAAAGCAAUCGUUGCAACAGAGGCACGCAAAGCAAGCGCAGGAGUACCUGAUGGAUGUACUGAAGGAUCCACAGUGGAACAGGAGCGCAAGGAGAAUGCUUUGAGAUACGUGCGGAAGUCGGCCCGACACGAGAAGGUGCAACCAGUGCCAUGUCCAUGAAGAAGCUCAGAGGAGAGAACAGAUCGAUGCACAACUACAGCGCGAUGUCCGCCGCAACGAGAGUCUCUUCCGCUCGGAUACGUGAUGGUGACUCUCCGUUGUGCACACAAGGGAGGAGAGAUGAAAUCACGACGACUUGCAAAGGCGACGUACUUGCAGGCACCCCAGUGUGUGUAGCAGAGACCUAGUGCGAAGGUGCAUGCACUUCGGUUUUGAGUGCAUUCACUUCAGUGGAAGUGGAGUUGCCGUUGAAUAAGGGUACGUAUCUUCGUAUACUGUUCCUUGCAGAUACUUACAAGGAGAGCUGGACCAGAAAAAAAGUUGUCGGGAAGGAUAACUUGAAGACAUCAUAUUACCCUCCCUAUGGCUGGAGGGGGAGAUUGUUGGGAUCCAGCCCAUGAAGAAAUUGAAGCCCAACCCAUGAAGCCCA
rnacentral:lncRNA from 1 species